rnacentral:lncRNA from 10 species
AAGAGAGAAGCCAAAGCACCUAGGCACAUUAAGCACCCACAGAGGCUCUCCACACCACACCACCACUGCUGGGAGAAGGGGAGGGAUGGUGUCAGCAAUUCCGGACUUCAGAAAAAAUAUCUCUUCAGUGGGUCUUUCAGUGAUAUGAAGUUUAAACCAGAUACGAUCACAUCACUUCCUAAAGAAGAUAGAACAAAAGACCACUUGAGCACUUCUCCUACCAUUUUCUACACUUCUAAAUGACACCAGCUUUUACAGAUGACAGAUGUAUGUAUUCCAUUUUCAUCUUAUUGUUAAGGGGUUUGGUAGUUUUUUUCCUUAAAGCAUUAUUUAUCAUGUUAUCUGACAUUAUUUAUAUACGUCUAUAAUUUUUUUUAAUAUAUUUUUUCCUUAAUGCUGCAAACCUUCUUUGAUCAUUUGGGCAUAUUCUUUUUUAAAAAUUUGAGCUAAAUAGCUUACAGAGAUUAUUACACAGAAGAAAAGCAUCUUUAAUCUUCUUAGAGGUUAGUAUUAAGACCUGAUAAAAGUGAAUCUUUUAACUUUUUUGAUAUUGGAAAUACUGUUUCUCACAUUUUCCAUUACUAUCU